rnacentral:antisense_RNA from 1 species
CGAAGGGACCCUGGGCGUCUGAGGCCCUGAUCCGGGCGGGCCUUCAGGAUGUUAGCAGUCCCUGUCCGGUUGAAGGUAGGAAGCCGAAAACCCGAGUGGGGGACGAACAGACUUACCUCCUGUCCCGCAAAAGAUCCACUAGAUCGUCGUCUCCAAAACCUGAGAGACCGCGAACGGAUUCCAGAGCCGCAGCGUUCUCUCAGACCUGGCGUUCAGAAAGAUUCUAGAGAGCACGGGCAGGUCCCGGAGGUCUCAGACCCGCAGGCCUGCGGGGCGGGGGCGGGGGCGGGGGCGGGGUGGCGCCCAGGACGACUCCCCAGGCUCAGCUUGGCUGCCUGCCUCCUUCUCAAACAAUGAGUACCUACUGUGUGCAGAAGCAGCAGGACAGCCUGUCAUCACUGGGAAAGAGGCCAGAAGAGCCAUUUGGCCAGGGUCUCCAAUUUAGGCUUUCAACAUUAUCUCUAAAGAAGGUUAUACAUUAUGUCGGCUCCACUGGCUGAUGGGAUCAAAGACCCUCCUUGUAUAUCCUUAAACCUGUACUCUAUUACCAGGCCACUGUGCCUGUGGAGCACUGUAAGUUCCUACCUUUUAAUAAAUUUUAUAAUUAUCUUGUGAGCA